rnacentral:miRNA from 1 species
UCUGUGCUACUGGAUGAAGAGU